GGACAGCAAGUUUACCUUGGCACAGGAGCUCAGGUGGGGCUGUGAGAAACCUUAUCUGUGCUUGCCUGGUAAACAAGGAGCCUGCAAUCUCCCCGGAGUCUUGGCCACUGAGCAGGUGACUGCGGGAGGCAGGUGAGCAGAGCAGGUGAGCAAGGUGAGCCUCGGGCCCAGGAGCACGCUGUGUUAGUGAUCUGAAAUAACCCAAAGACAAAAGAUAAUAAACGCCUGUGGUAGAGACGGGUGUUGUCUGCUUGUGGUGAUCGGCCCUCUUGGCACCUGGAAAUGAGUAAUUUCGUCCGUACAUUGUCAGGGCCAAGCUCAGGAAUUCAGAAAUCCUGGUUAUCUAGGUUUGGCCUAGGAGGUCCUCUCUUCAAAAGAGAGAGUAGCUCCAAAAGGUGGACAAGACUGGUUUUUCAGAUCCCUCUGGUGCUGAUGUGUUCGCCCCUAGGACACGCAGUUGGAGAAAGUUCUUGAUACCAGGAGGAGUUGCUUUGAUGUGUCAGCUUGGAAAGAAUGCCUCGUAAGGGCCAUUCAGGACUCCAGGAGAGCAACAAAAACAAAAAAGCCCCAGCUCGUGGAAACAUCAAAGUGAAGGCAAAUAUAACCAGACUGACCCACCUGGAGGUAUUUAAAUACCUUGAAGAAUGGUGGUGUGUCCUUGCAAAACCCAGGCAGCUUUCAGGUAGAAACUUGAGUCAUGUCUGGAUCAUAAGGAGUGAGGUGGCCCCACUGGCUGUCCCUGGCCACUCAUUAUAAUCAGGAAAAAGUGAGGACAAUGUGAGACUCUCCCUUGGAGAGUCUGAAAACUUGGAAGACCUGAAUUUUGGUGACCACUCAACAAGUCAGUCUGCUCCAGGGACCCAUUAACAUUGCAACCUCAUUCCUAGUGGUGCCAAGAUGCAGCCAUGAUUUGUACUGCAGUGUGGGGAGGCCAGAUUUGGGCCCUCCUGGAAGUCCACAGCAAUUCCGUCCCUGGAAAGUUGUUGCACAGAGGAAAAUACAGCGCCACGUCCCAAGACAAACUGAAGGCCUCCAAAGAAGACAUAAGUAAUUUUGUUCUUUAUAUUUUACAUCUUUACAGAAAGUAUCCGAGUUUACAAAAACCACAUAAAAUAGAACAAAGUUUAAAAAAUAGAAUAUAGAGGGAAAGGAAAAAUAAUAGAUAACAGAGGACAAAGCCCAGUGUGGCUGCUACCUUAUUGCUGUAAGGUCCUGUACACUUUCAAAUCAAACUCUGACUUCCCAACCCACAAAGCAAAAGUUAAAGAAAUGCACGUACAGCACUGCACCCAUGAUAAGAAAAACCAGGCAGCUGCUGCAGAGAAGCACAUCUAUUCCUGAUGCUGAGGCUCCCCAUGGGGCCUCAUGAGAAAGAAUUGGAAGACACAGUGGAAGGCCACCAAGAGCAUCCCCAACAACAGCCCUACCAUACACCAUAGGGAGUUUUCUGGGAUGGAGUUUCCUGGGAUGGUUCCUAUGACAUCCCAGUGCAGGCUACUGGCCAUGCCAAUGCCUGGUCCAGUGAGAACAAUUAUGGGAGACUCCAGAAUGACCUCUGCUGAGCUGGCUUACACCUAGGACAAAAAUCAGAGCAAAGAAACUGCUUUGGGAAUCCGAGGGGCCCUGCCUCUCUGGGAAUCUGAAUUCGGGCUUCUCCCCAGGUCUUGUGCCAGCUUUGCUCUUUGCUUUGGGAGGGGAGUCCCUAGGGUUUCCAGCAAAGCUGCCGUCAUUGAAGACAGAGGCACAGCACAUAGCCCAUGCACAGGCCAGGCCCAUGGUCUUCCCACUGAGACCUCUAGCCACAGAAUAGUCUCCAGUCGAGCAGAGGCUGAGGAGAAAGAGGGACUAAGUGCUGGUCCUGGGUUCACCAGUCACUGACAGUGGGAACCUCAGAAAGCCAACUCCUCUCUGUGGGCCUUAGUUCUGUCGCCUGCGAAGUGGAGCAGACGAGCUAGCAUCGGAUCUGUCCUUUUCCUGAGGAUUCUCAUGGCUGCAGAGCUCUUCAGUGCAUGGCAAGCUGAAGAGAGGCAAUGAAGCAGGGCUGGAAGCGUUGGGGUCUGUGGAAGACAUGAAAUGUACCACCCAGAUCCGCCUUCUACGGAGGGCCUUCUGCCCAGCUGCGGGUAUGGAACCAGCAGCCUGCCUCCAGCUGUUUGUUCCUUCAAAGUCUGCCACAGCUGCAGAAAGCUGCCUCCCCCAAGAUCAUGCCCUCCCAAGAUAGCCCAUGCUGUGGAUUGGGUGCAGCAGGGGAAUAAAGGCCCAGGCACUUUGUCCCUGUGCAGAUCACUCUGAACAGCACAGGUGUUGCUCCCAAAACCUGUCUUGGCAUCUGCUUCUGAAGAACCUAAUCUGCAGCAGAGGCCAAGCACCCAAGCACAAAGACUUGCCUGGCCUAUGACCUUUGGAACAAACACCUGAGCCACCGUGGACCCAAGAGCUAGAGAAACAACCAGCGUGGAUGGUCUGACAGCACCGCUGGCCACAGCUGCUACUCAGUGGCCGUUCAUCACAUGGAAAAGGGACAUGACCCUCUUCUCCCCAAACAGCCCCCUCUUGACUCUGUUCUUCCAGCGGAUGAUGCCAGUUUUCCAGCCACCCAAGCUCAAGAUCUCCAAGCCUCUCCCAAGUUCCUUUCCCUUCUGCUCCUAUAUCCGAACAGUUACUAAGUUUUGAAGCUCCAUCUUUGCAUACACCACCUCCCUCAUGGGCUACUGCAGCAACCCCAUGAGGACCCCUCCCUCCUUACUAUAAGAUGCUCACCCCUGGUGCAGGUCCUGUCACUGUGAUUCCUGCUCGCGCUCCCCACCAUAUGGGUCACUGCUCUGUGGAAGGAAGGAAUGACAUAUUGGAGUCACACCUGUUUCCCCGAAGUCAUUGGGAAGUGUUCGUUGCUGCUUGUUAGAAAUACCCAAACACAAACAAAAGGUGGUAAAACAAUGUGAAUUCGAUGAGAAGUUUCUGCUUCUGUUUGGAUUGAGGUCAGUGUUAUUUCCCUAGCGUAGACCCAGAAAACAGAGCACUUGUUCAACUGAGGAGAUGCCCCUGGCAUGUAAGUGAAUGUGCUUGUGUGGACAUGUGGAGGUCUCAAGAACAAAAGAAGAGCUGGGCAACUUGCUGGCACUUGAUACCCAGGUGUUUCUUAAUGUUCCUGUUGAAGAAAUAGCUGUAAAAUGCUGAAGGAAAUGCCCGCUUCCCUGUGUACAGAAGGCAGGCUGCGAAGGUGGGGCACCAUACAUUCUAGUCCAAAGAGGACUAGUAUGACCUCCCCAUUAGGCCACACGAAUCCCACAGCUGUGUGCGUGUAGCCAAGAUGUCAGCAAGGUGAGACCCCACACAAAUACUCCAAAAUGUGCUGGAAAGAGGGAGGGAUGGAAUAUCAACCAUUCUAUUUGGCAUCAUUCUCUGCUAAGAGAACAGGCUUGGCCUCUCUUUUUCAGAAACCAAGAAAGGGCUUUGCUGCCUUUGCUAUGUUUUCCU
rnacentral:lncRNA from 1 species